UUAAUUAUUUUUAUGCUUCCAUUUGUAUAAAUAUCCAUAACAGGAAAAUCCUUAGGAAGCAUAAUAGUGGUUCAUGGCUGAGCGUGCAGAAUGGAGAAUGACAGUUUAAUGAACCUAGGUUACCACCUGAGAUGGUGAAGGUAUUCUUUACCAGGCAUGGUGAGGGUCUCACAGGUCUGAGUGCAUGAAUUGCCUCUGAGCUGUUUGCUCCAGGACAGAUGCUGAAUUUUAGAUUGAAUGUUGUCUUAAUAAAGAAAGAAGAGCAGAUAAGGAGUGGUCCUAACCCCACUACAGACUUAUAGAGUAGGAGCCUCCUGAGGACAUCACUGGUCAUGGAGAUCUUUCGCAAAUGCUUCUUUUCCUCCCUCUGCUUAGAAUGAAGCCAUCAGAGACAUGUUACUGAGUGUCGGUGAAGACUCUGAUGUGCACAGUCAGGAGACGGGAAGUUUUAACUAGUCUCACUAUACAGUUCAAGAUGGCAAUCAACCUGAGAGUAGAAGAGACUGGCCAGGAGAAGGAACAAAUGAAGGGAAACAAGAGCCUUGUUCUUCAUCCUUGAUGGCCAGAGAUGCAAGGCUGAAGAAGAUGAUGCAAAACAGUUUCUGCUGGCCACCUCUAACUCAUGAACACCGUGGAAAUGCUGUUUCUCACCUCCAUUCUCUAUACUGCUGCUAACAUAAGUGAUCAUUUGUAAGUGAGAAAACUAAGUGUGGAAAAGUGACCAGAUCUGUACAAGGUCAUUUCUACAAUAGGAGAGUCAGCAUGCAGACCUUGUUCCUGGUGUCUGGCAGCUACCUCCCUGCCAUAUGAAGGCAGGGGAUCUUUUUGCUAUAGUACAUGACUUGGGGGAGGGGACCUUCUAUCAAAUGAUAGCGAGCUUCUUAGCCUUGGGCCUCUUGAUUCAUGUUCCACAUGCAAGUGUUUGAGCCUUGAAUAUGGCCAACGAUGUUUUCCCAGCAAUCACUGCACUCCUAUUAUCUGCAAAGCCCCCAGGUGCAUGGCAUUAGCAAGGGGUUAAGCAAUGUAUGCAUUAGCGUGUACCUGCCCACAUGCUUUAAAAUUUGUUCCAUCUCUUUUCCUUUUUACACAUUAUAAUUAUUGAUGCAUACUAGUUGUAUAGAGUAAGGGGAUUCAUUACGAUAUUUUCAUAUAUGCAUAUACUGUGUGUUGGUCAAGUUUGUCAAGCCCUCUCCCAUCUUCUCACUCUAUGCUAACUCUCCUCCCAGGCCUGUAUAGCCCCUCUUCUACUUUACUUUUUAGUAUUCACAUAUGAGAGAAAACAUGCAGUAUUUGUCUUUCUGAAUUAUUUUGUUUAACAUGAUAUCCUCCACUUCCCUGUAUUUUUCUGCAUAUGACUGGAUUUCAUUUUUCUUUAUGGUUGAAUAGGGUGUGUGUGUGUGCCUGCAUGUGUGCACAUGUGCAUGCCAUUUUUGCUUUGCCCAUUCUCUUGCUGACACAUACCUAGACUGAUUGCUUGCCUUGGUUAUUGUGAAUAGUGCCUCUCUUGCUCCUAUCUUGCUCAUUAGCCAUUGUUGUAUAAAAAAGCAUUCUCAAACUCAGUGCCUUAUUGCAAAAUUUUAUAAUUGGCACUCAAUUUUCUGGUUUUACUGGGCUCAGUUGGGUAGUUAUUGGUUACAGUGUCCUGUCAAAAAACUUCAGUCAGCUUGGGGCUAAAACUGCAGUACAUUCCCAUGGCCUAAAGUCCAGCAAUAAGAAAGGGAGGACUGCAACGUAUCUUGAGGGUGGAGCACUUGCCUAGCAUGCAGGAGGUCCUGACUUCCAUGCCCAGCAUGAGACUGUAUAACAGCUUACAAUUGAUUUUUAAGACCAUAGGGAGAAUGGAACAUGGAUAGAGGAGCAUUAUUUGCUAUAAUAAAGCAAAAGAAAUGAAAAUCUUAGUGCAUACAGAGAGGAAAACUGAUGAGACCUCAUUUCACUGCAGAGCCUUGGAAGUAGUGAAAUUCUGUGUGAUACAAAUCUAUAAUUGUGUGCUACUGCUGGUUUUCUUUCUGUCAACAAGAGCGCUCCAUUCUUGUGUCAGGUAUUGAGUUGAGAAACACUGAUUACCAGUUGUGUGAGUUACUUUUCAUUGGUUGUUGAGACAAAAUACCUGACACCCAACAUGCAAGAAGGAAAGGUUUAUUUCUUACAGGUCAGAGGUUUCAGUCCAUACUCAGAUGGCUCCAAGACAAAGUGACAUGGUUGAGGGGAAGCAGUUAAUCAUGGCUGCAAACAGCAAGCAUGAACAGCAAAAGAGAGAGACACACCUUCUUCCCUCAGGUACACUGUAUGCUGGCUCCACUCCUGGGCAGGUGUAGCACUCAUACCACCAAUCUGAGUGCUAGACAAUGAACCAAUCAGAAAUACUGGAUUUGGCCACAUUCAUUAUUGUAUGAUGCUUGGGAGGGGCACAGACAUAAACUAUGACACCAGUAGAGGCAAAGAGACUGCUGUCAUACUCUCAGCAUGAAGCUUAAGGUCUACUGAGGUAGGGGGAUAUUUAUCAAAUCACUUUCCAAGUAUAGGCUGAAAAUUCCUAAUCUGAAAUCUGAAGUCUGAAAUGCUUCAAAAUCCAAAACUUUUGACUACUGAUGUAGUGCCAAAUUGAGAAAUUCCACAAAAAGAAAUUUUGUUUCAAACACAAAAUGUUAUUUAAUUAAGAUUAUUGGUACAUUUUAGAUGUAAAUAAUAAUCAUGUUAACUGUGGGAAAUUUGUACCAUACAUGAUAUGAAUCUUUUUUUUUUCCUGUACCUUUCCUUCAACUCCCUUCCCCUCCUUAUUUAUGGAAGGCUUGUUUCCUUCUUUUCUCAUCAUUUUUUAAUUUCCCUUCUUUCUUUCUCCCUCCUCCAUCCAUAAUUCCCCAUCUCAUUAGAAAAUGUUCAAAUAUCUAUUUUAUUUUAGUCCUUAUCUACAUUUUCAGUUUCCCACACCAGAGAAACAACACAAUACACAUGUUAACCACAGAAUUAAUACAAAUAUUGUAUAAAAUUAUCUUCAGGCUCGGAGUAUGAAGUAUAUAUAAACUAUAAAUAAAUUUCAUGUUUAGACUUGAGUCCCAUCCUAAAAAUAACUUAUUAUGUCUAUGCAAGUUCUUCAAUAAAUAAAAAAUCAGA